GGGUUGUAUGAAAGGAGAGGUUAGCUCUCCCCUUGACAAAAGUCGAAGAGGCCCUCGAGCCGGACACCACAGACAGGGUUAAGGCACGCACUGGCAUGCUUUUCGAAGAUGGAACUCCCUCUUUAC
ensembl:snRNA